rnacentral:rRNA from 1 species
GAUGAACGCUGGCGGCGUGCUUAACACAUGCAAGUCGAACGGAAAGGCCCUGCUCUUGUGGGUUGCUCGUGAGGCGAACGGGUGAGUAAAACGCGAGUAAACUGCCCUUGUAUUUGGGAUAACUUCAGGGAACUGCGGCUAAUACCGGAGAGGAUCUCUUGCAGCAUGGUGGGGGUUGGAAAGAUUCGGCCGUUGGGGAUAGACUCGCGGCUUAUCAGCUUGUUGGUGGGGUAGUGGCUGACCAAGGCUUUGACGGGUAGCCGGCCUGAGAGCGUGACCGGCGACAAUGCGCCUGCGGUACGGCCCAGAAUCGUACGGGCGGCAGUGGGGGGGAAUAUGACGGAAUGGGCGCGCGCGAGUGACAGAAGCGCCCGGUGCGGAAUGACGUCUUACGGGGUGUAAACAAAUUUCGAAUGAGCCAAGGCCUGCGUGACGGUAAUGGGUCAGGAAGCCACGGCUAACUACGUG